GAUGAAGAACGCAGCGAAAUGCGAUAAGUAGUGUGAAUUGCAGAAUUCAGUGAAUCAUCGAAUCUUUGAACGCACAUUGCGCCCUUUGGUAUUCCUUAGGGCAUGCCUGUUCGAGCGUCGUUUAAACCUUCAAGCUAAGCUUGGUGUUGGGUGACUGUCCGCUUCACGGCGGACUCGCCUCAAAAUUAUUGGCGGCCGGUACAUUGGCUUCGAGCGCAGCAGAAACGCGAACUCGGGCCCGUCGUAUUGGCUCCCAGAAGCUAUCUUCACAAUUUUGACCUCGGAUCAGGUAGGGAUACCCGCUGAACUUAAGCAUAUCAAUAAGCGGAGGA
rnacentral:misc_RNA from 1 species